CAAAAAAAGAAAGAAGAAAUUUUAAAGGCGCUGAGAAAAGCCCAGGGCUCGCAGCUAGUUUCGGCAACUUCAACUUGCGUAAGACCCCAUGUUUGUGAAAACAACCCAAGAAUCUGAACAGGAUGUAAUCAACCUCCGAUCUGCUGAGAAGUACUGCAAAAAUGACUUCAGCUGCCAAAAAUAAUAACGUCGUUUACAAGCAGCUCUUCCUAUGUCUAAGGAAGAACUAGUCACACAUGCGAGUUUUUGCUGGCUUGAGAACAAGCAAGGAAAAAGACAAAUCCCACCUCCCCUAGCCUAAAAUACACAGAGAGUCCCAGAACCCCGUGGAAGCUGUGGCUCAUUCCUAAAAGCGCUGGCAAUAUCGAGGAAGACUUGUAUCCACAAAAUUCCAAAUGAUUAAAUGAUCAAGUCAUUAUAGAGAAUUGGGUCUAAAUGACCUGGCAGAAACCAUGGAGAUGAUCUUGGAUAUAAAGACCAAAAACUCAAAGCAAUGUGUUCUGAUCAAGAAACGGCUGGAAAUGGCAGCAACCUGAUAUGGAACAAUCAAGAACUGAAGGUUUAUUUUGAAUGAGAGGUGUUGUCCAACUGCGAGACUGAAUGACUGAAGCUGAGAAUAAAUGGAAACACAAUCAACAGUCAUUCCAGGUGUGCGGUUAUUGAGACCUGCCUUGAAAGUUUCAGGUCUCUUCUCUUUCUGUAACCACGUUAACACUGCGUCUACAGACUGCGAUACUGUUAAUGAAGGAGAGAAAAAGUCCUUCCAUUUAUUGUUAUUCUUGUUCUUAAUGAAAAUUUUUGAGCUGUUGGGUUUUGAAAUUACAAUGAUAAAGCAACUCUUUUAGAAUAAAAGAGACAAUAUAUUACAAAGCCAACUUGUAUAUUGGACAGGUAAAAAUGCCUCCUGGUUACGUUGUCUUUAAUACACAUUUCUUCUAAGGUCAGUCAUCAAUGUUGUUUUCUGUUUUCUGUAGUUGUAUAGUUACGGAUAAAGUCAUUGUAUUCUUCCUGGUCCCUACCAAUGUUGUUCUUUUAUUGAUACAGACAUCAGGAACUGCUCAAUAAAUAUUUGUUGUGGGACAAACUAUAAUUGUAAUGUGUCCUAUUUGGAUAAUACUUUACAAUUUGCAAAGCUCUUUAGCGUACCUUAUUUAGUUAAACCACACUACGACACAAAUGCACUGUACAAAAUGUGUGCUUCGUAAGCCUUGUAUUAUAGUCGUACCUCAUAUAUCACACACAAAUAUCAAGACACAGAAAGAUAGACACAUAACUGCAUAAGCAGUAUUCCCCAAACUCAUACUUUGUGCUUCAUUUAGGAUUUCUUACCAAUAUAAUUUUCAUUUGGAAAACCUCUCCUAUUCAUAUUAUGAAAAAGACCACUUGAUGAUUCAGAAAUGGAUUUUUUUUUUUUUUUCUGUUUUGGUUCCUAUAACUAUGUAAGACACUGAUGAGGCCCAUCACAACGUGGAGUACAACUGUAAAUAAGAUGAAGUUCUUGACUUCAGGGAGAUUAAAAUCCACUUAUUUUCUCCACUCAGUCCUCCCCAACUAGCAGUCUCACUAGACAAUGCCAUUGGUUUUAAACACUUAUUUUAGAAACUUGGGAGGCAAGCUAGAGCCUGGGAAGCCUUUACACUUGUUGGAACUCUUCUUUGCUUAGAUGUAAGGCUCUUUCAUCUGGUUGCUUUUAUAAUGCAAAAGGCAGAGGCAAAUUAUACAGAACACAAUCAGUGGGUCCAGAGUAUUGAAACACUCCUCUUAACGACAAUGUCAAGUUACUUUAUUUGUUCAUGAAGCACUUGAAAAAUGAGAAAGAACAGCAGGUCUUCAAGAGAGAACAGGGAAAGAGUUGGCCCCGAGUGUUUUAUUACCCAAAGAGGGUGUUAACAUGCAUAGAAAUGUCAGAUCUCUACUAAAAAAAAUCAAUGAAUGACAGACAUAUCCAGUUGCAGCUCACUCAACCCUGAUUUAACAAUCAUUUGAGAUCUUACAAGGGAAUGAUUCUGAAGAAUAAAAAGCAUUUCAGUUUCACCCGCUGAGUAUUAAUGCAUUUGAAACAUUGGAGGGAAGACGUCAAAAGAAAACAGAAAAUCUGUACUGCCACCUACACUCUCUUAAAAAUAAGAAUAUAAUGUAGUUGUAUGAGAGUAAGUUCUGUAAAACACUACUUUUAUUAAAAUGCGUGUAACCCUGUAGGCUUGAAAAGUGUCAGAUUUUGCCAUAAAACUGAUAAUAUCACUACUUGGUAUUGAUACAGCCUUCUUCUUUUGAGAACCCCCAAGCAGCUUAUGGGUAUAACUUAAUCUUCAUGUGUAGACAUUUGGUAAUUUAGCCAGUGGGCUUUAACAAAUCAAGAAAACCUGUGACCAGGUCUCAGUGUAGGUGAAGUUUUUAGCAAUUUCACUAACUUCAAUUUCUUACUGUGACCCUGAAAAACAACAGGGGAAUGGUCCCUACACCCAGGCAAAGAUGCACCUGGGCAGUGUCUCCAUGAAGUGUUGCUACAUGUGUCCAGUGACACUAUUAAAAGCCCCAGCCCUGACAUUUCUAUACUCCAUUUAAUGCUCUCAGUUACAAAUAAAAGGGGAUCACUUUAACUCAAUCACUUCUUUGAAAGGUGACUUUUACUCGGAAAUAGCAGAGGGCUUAUUCUAAAAUGAAAAUCUGGUGAAGAGACUACAUAAGACUCUCAGGCAUGACAGUAAUGUUUUAUUUAAAACAUAUUCUAUUUAAGCAUUUAUAUUUCACAUCAAGAUUUUUGUUUCAGGGUUGAGGUACCAUACUAAAGUACAAGGGAGUUCUUAUGAUAUUAGGAUUUCUGCAAGAUAAAGCACUUGUUGCCAUAGGGAUAAGUAAAUAGUCCCGAUCUGAGACACUAGUUCCCACUGCCAAGACAUGGGUGGGAGAAGGUGGUUCCCAUAGACUGUUUUCUCUAGAUAAAAAUACAGUGAGGUUUCUAUUUAAGGGCAAUUUUUAAAAAUUCUCAGGAAUUUCAUCCAAAAGAAACAUAUCCUAUCAUUUUCUGAACAAUUGAGUGGUGAACUCACUAACAAUAUUUUGAGAUUAUAUUUGUAUGCAGUAUUAAUUAUGCUCAUGCUCUGUCAUAUCAACGAUGCUGCUGUGACUGCAGGGUUUUUUUUCUUUUGAGACAGGGUU